rnacentral:rRNA from 1 species
CCCAGACUCCUACGGGAGGCAGCAGUGAGGAAUAUUGGUCAAUGGACGCAAGUCUGAACCAGCCAUGCCGCGUGCAGGAAGAAGGUGCUAUGCAUUGUAAACUGCUUUUAUACGGGGGUAAUUACAGAUACGUGUAUCUGGAUGAAAGUACCGUAUGAAUAAGGAUCGGCUAACUCCGUGCCAGCAGCCGCGGUAAUACGGAGGAUGCGAGCGUUAUCCGGAUUUAUUGGGUUUAAAGGGUGCGUAGGCGGUUUUUUAAGUUAGUGGUUAAACGUCGGGGCUUCACCUUGAUUUGCCAUUAAUACUGUAAGACUCGAGUUCAGACGAGGUAGGCGGAAUAAGUUAAGUAGCGGUGAAAUGCUUAGAUAUAACUUAGAACUCCGAUAGCGAAGGCAGCUUACCAGACUGCGACUGACGCUGAAGCACGAGAGCGUGGGUAGCGAACAGGAUUAGAUACCCCUGUA